rnacentral:lncRNA from 1 species
ACAGGAGGAAGUUAAUGCACCAUCACUGCCUUCAAGCUGGUGGGCGCCACAAAACAUGGAAUCAGGUGGGCUCUAGAGGGGAGAGGGUUUCCCAGCUGACAGCCAUCGGGGAAGAGAGGAUUUCAGUCCCGAAACCGCAAGAACAGAAUUUGGCUAACAACCUAAGUGAGCUUGGAAGUGGAAUUUUCUCUCAAAGCCUCUAGUUUGUGUGAUGCUAAACAAAGGACCCAGUGGUGCUCACCUGGACUUAUGAACUAUAGAACUGUGAUGUGGAACUUGAGCCAGUUAUUUAACUUCCUCUCUCUCAUUGUCUUCCUCUGGAAAAGGGAGGUACCGUGAAAAAGACAGAAAAAAAGAUUGCUGAAACUUGCAGGGAAAUAUUUCAGUACCAAACACUGAAAGAAGAGUUGUUUUAUUCUUGAAAUUGAAGUAUCCAUAGCUAGUGCAUGAGAAGAGUUAUAAGAAUGUUUUUGGCAAGCUCUCUUGAAUCCAAAGCAAAUUGUAGGCCUCAGGGAUGAAUUUUGAUUAUGUACUGGAUUUCAAAGCUCCGGCUCACCUGUGGUUCUAUUCUAAAGAUGAAGAGCAGAGCAAAACUCCCAAAAGAACUUCUCUCUCAGUGCAUCUGAAGCAUUUUCUCCAGUUGCCCAGACAUCGCUUAGGGAUAAUUUGCAGAUUGAGGUACCGUUGUCAAGAAGUAGGGAUGACACUUCAACAAAAUGUAAAUGUUAUCAAAUGACACCAUUUAUACUUGCUGUGGAUUUGAGGUAUAUUUAAAGUAUAAAUAAAAAAUUUAACUAUGAGAUCUCCAAUGUUGACCCCAAGUGUCAAAAAAACCCCAAACAAUUACAACCCCAAAACAGAGAAUAAAUUUGUUCUAUUUCUUAAUCAACAUGUUAGGUCUCUUAACAGAAUGUAUAUGGGAGAAAAGUACUUCCAUUCUUCCAAGUACUGAAAGAGGUUCCUGUGCUGAAAGGCUUUUAUAUAUUCUAACUUUAACUUACGAUAUCUGUCAGGAAUAUGUUAUAAAUGUAUCACAAUAUGCAUACUAAAGGACUGAAGAAGCUGAAUGUCUCUGCAUAUUUUCAUAGAUAAUCAAAUUUGUUCUUUUCUCUUUUGGAAUUUUUCCAGGUCUGGAAUUUAAAAACAAAACAAAACAAAACUUCCAUCUGUAAAAGCAAAUUCAAUAGAGGUACUAAAAUGUACAAUAAUUGACUCAAAUUACUACUUCAAAGCUACUUUAUAGGCUUUCCUCAAGAUAGACACUAAGAGCUAAGCAUUCACUGAUUUUCCCUAUAGAAUCAUGCAACUCUUAUCAUCACUUUAUCAAUUUAUAAUGAUUUUCUGACAGUAAAAGGCAGAAAGGGAAUAGCACUACUCUACCCUAAUAAUAGUGUUCAGGGUCACUGAGAAAUUUUAAUGGUUAUAAACCAAAUUAUGGGAUUAAAGAGGUCAGAGGGAGCAAAUUGUUUUAUAUUCUGGUUUAUACUUCUCAUUUCAAGAACCUCAUGAAAUAAAAACUAUCUUUGAAGCAGUCAUAAAAUGUGAAAUUUAUCAGGCAAGGAAAUGAAAUUUUGUUUUUAAUUUACCUACUUCAAGGAAAAAAUUAUCCCUUCUCUAUGUUGCAUCUUCAGUAGACUAUCAUAAAAUUGAAACUGUUUUCCAUUAUAAUUUCCUCAUUUACUUUAUGAUUGAUUAUUCAUAUAUUUUUCUUUCCAUAUGUUAAAUGAAGCAUCUUUUAAAAUAAUGGAAAAUAUAUUUUGCCAUUAAUGUAUGCAAUACAUUUUGAACAUGAAAUCCAGUAAAUAAAACAAAAGCUUUCAAUUAAAUUACAUCUAAACUUUCAUUAAUUGUUCUUAAAUAUUCUAUUUAGUAACCUUGAUACUGGCUUAACACAAGGUUGACAUGCGAG